rnacentral:rRNA from 1 species
GAUGAACGCUGGCGGCGUGCCUAAUACAUGCAAGUCGAGCGAACGGACGAGAAGCUUGCUUCUCUGAUGUUAGCGGCGGACGGGUGAGUAACACGUGGAUAACCUACCUAUAAGACUGGGAUAACUUCGGGAAACCGGAGCUAAUACCGGGUGAUAUUUUGAGCCGCAUGGUUCAAAAGUGAAAGACGGUCUUGCUGUCACUUAUAGAUGGAUCCGCGCUGCAUUAGCUAGUUGGUAAGGUAACGGCUUACCAAGGCAACGAUGCAUAGCCGACCUGAGAGGGUGAUCGGCCACACUGGAACGUAGACAGGGUCAAGACGCCUAAGGGAGGCACCAGUAGGGAAUCUGCCGCAAUGGGGGAAAGCCUGACGGAGCAACGCCGCGUGAGUUAUGACGGUCUUCGGAUCGUAAAACUCUGUUAUUAGGGAAGAACAUAUGUGUAAGUAACUGUGCACAUCUUGACGGUACCUAAUCAGAAAGCCACGGCUAACUACGUG